UAUACCGUGAAACUGCGAAUGGCUCAUUAAAUCAGUUAUCGUUUAUUUGAUAGUACCUUACUACUUGGAUAACCGUGGUAAUUCUAGAGCUAAUACAUGCUGAAAACCCCAACUUCGGGAGGGGUGUAUUUAUUAGAUAAAAAACCAACGCCCUUCGGGGCUUCUUGGUGAUUCAUGAUAACUUUACGGAUCGCAUGGCCUUGCGCCGGCGACGGUUCAUUCAAAUUUCUGCCCUAUCAACUUUCGAUGGUAAGGUAUUGGCUUACCAUGGUUUCAACGGGUAACGGGGAAUUAGGGUUCGAUUCCGGAGAGGGAGCCUGAGAAACGGCUACCACAUCCAAGGAAGGCAGCAGGCGCGCAAAUUACCCAAUCCCGACACGGGGAGGUAGUGACAAUAAAUACUGAUACAGGGCUCUUUUGGGUCUUGUAAUUGGAAUGAGUACAAUUUAAACCUCUUAACGAGGAACAAUUGGAGGGCAAGUCUGGUGCCAGCAGCCGCGGUAAUUCCAGCUCCAAUAGCGUAUAUUAAAGUUGUUGCAGUUAAAAAGCUCGUAGUUGAAACUUGGGUCUGGCUGGCGGGUCCGCCUCACCGCGUGUACUUGUCCGGCCGGGCCUUCCUUCUGGAGAACCUCAUGCCCUUCACUGGGCGUGUUGGGGACCAGGACUUUUACUUUGAAAAAAUUAGAGUGUUCAAAGCAGGCCUUUGCUCGAAUACGUUAGCAUGGAAUAAUAGAAUAGGACGUGCGGUUCUAUUUUGUUGGUUUCUAGGACCGCCGUAAUGAUUAAUAGGGACAGUCGGGGGCAUCAGUAUUCAAUUGUCAGAGGUGAAAUUCUUGGAUUUAUUGAAGACUAACUACUGCGAAAGCAUUUGCCAAGGAUGUUUUCAUUAAUCAGUGAACGAAAGUUAGGGGAUCGAAGACGAUCAGAUACCGUCGUAGUCUUAACCGUAAACUAUGCCGACUAGGGAUCGGGCGAUGUUCUUUUUUUUGACUCGCUCGGCACCUUACGAGAAAUCAAAGUU
rnacentral:rRNA from 1 species